rnacentral:rRNA from 1 species
UGGGGAAUAUUGGACAAUGGGCGCAAGCCUGAUCCAGCCAUACCGCGUGGGUGAAGAAGGCCUUCGGGUUGUAAAGCCCUUUUGUUGGGAAAGAAAAGCAGUCGGUUAAUACCCGGUUGUUCUGACGGUACCCAAAGAAUAAGCACCGGCUAACUUCGUGCCAGCAGCCGCGGUAAUACGAAGGGUGCAAGCGUUACUCGGAAUUACUGGGCGUAAAGCGUGCGUAGGUGGUUGUUUAAGUCUGUUGUGAAAGCCCUGGGCUCAACCUGGGAAUUGCAGUGGAUACUGGGCGACUAGAGUGUGGUAGAGGGUAGUGGAAUUCCCGGUGUAGCAGUGAAAUGCGUAGAGAUCGGGAGGAACAUCCAUGGCGAAGGCAGCUACCUGGACCAACACUGACACUGAGGCACGAAAGCGUGGGGAGCAAACA